GUGGGGAAUCUUCCGCAAUGGACGAAAGUCUGACGGAGCAACGCCGCGUGAGUGAAGAAGGUUUUCGGAUUGUAAAGCUCUGUUAAUCGGGACGAAAGAGCCUAGUGUGAAUAAUGCUAGGAAGUGACGGUACCGGAAUAGAAAGCCACGGCUAACUACGUGCCAGCAGCCGCGGUAAUACGUAGGUGGCAAGCGUUGUCCGGAAUUAUUGGGCGUAAAGCGCGCGCAGGCGGAUCUGCCAGUCUGUCUUAAAAGUUCGGGGCUUAACCCCGUGAUGGGAUGGAAACUACAGAUCUAGAGUAUCGGAGAGGAAAGUGGAAUUCCUAGUGUAGCGGUGAAAUGCGUAGAUAUUAGGAAGAACACCAGUGGCGAAGGCGACUUUCUGGACGAAAACUGACGCUGAGGCGCGAAAGCCAGGGGAGCGAACGGGAUUAGAUACCCGAGUAGUCC
rnacentral:rRNA from 1 species